rnacentral:tRNA from 1 species
GCUCAGUUGGUAGAGCAUGGUGUUUGCAACGCCACGGUUGUGGGUUCGAUUCCCAC